rnacentral:lncRNA from 1 species
UUACCAAUGAAUUCAUUUCUUCAUGCUGAGAAAGCUGUUGGGACUUUUGUCUUUUGUAUAAUUUAUGAAUUUCGAGGACAAAAUCCCAAAAUAUUUACAACAUGGUCCUUACCCCUGACAUAUUCUGAUAUUUGUUUGAUUCUCUUUCAAUUUUCCAUUUUAGCUUCCGUUUCUUAGUACAGCUACAGCAGCAUUGACAACUUCUGUCUGUCUUUCACUUUUGUUAGGCAAGCAAUGGAGUCAAUAGGCUUUUUAUGUCUUUUCAUAGUACUACUUUAAAGUUUUAAAAGAUUAUUUAGCCAUUAGGUUCAAACCAAGCUUAAAAAGCUUUACUUUUUCUCCGGUGCUGGCGGUGGUGGGGUGGCGUUGAUCGGAAAAAUGGGGUUGAUGAUGGGGAGUAGACCGCCGCACAAGGCGGGCAUUGGUGGCAGUGUUGGUGUCCCUACAAGAUGGGUCUCUUUCUUAUGCAUUGCUAGCUUUUGCUUGGGAGUUCUUGUUAUCAAUCGGUACUUUUUCUUCUGGCCUUUCUUGAAUUUUCCAAUUUUUG